rnacentral:lncRNA from 1 species
GGAUCAAUGCUAGACCAAAACGAAAGCCAAACAAACCAAAGCCGACAGUGCCAGUAGAUACGGCAGACCCAACAAAACCAAUCGGUCUGUUAAACAAAACUGUAAGUGUUGUGGUUCAGAGACCUAAUAAAAAGAGAAGUAAGAAAGACAAAGACGAAGCAGAAGAAGUUUUAGUGAUUGAAGGGAUUGAGUAUCGAAUAGAUCUAUAUAUAAAGUUUAACGUGCUCAUAAAUGACGUGCCUGACACACCUGGUAAAGCAGACGACGCAGAGUUUGCCGGAACCUUUGUCAAUGUGCCUCAUAAUCGUAACAAGACAGUAAAGACAAGUUUGAGGUUGGGAAUUUCUGAGCUAUUGGAGGAUUUGGAAGCUGAAGAUGAUGAAAGUGUGGUGGUGACUUUGGUGCCGGUAACAAAUAUAGGUGAGGCUAC